rnacentral:lncRNA from 1 species
AUCAAUCAACACCUGAAAUGAAAAUUUAAAUCAAUCCAGAUGAAGAGAGAGGCGUGUAGAUCUGCAGACCUCUUAUGAGAUUCCUGUGGUAAGAAUCGAAAGGUGAAAGAUUGGUAGAGGGGACGGAUCUGGGAGGUGAAGAGGAGGAGCCGCCGCCAUCGGAGAGGGUAUGGUCUCGGGAAAGGGCGAAGGAGGUCGCGGUGGAAGAUCUCUGCGAAAGAGAAAAGAGCCUCCUUCCUGCUACUCGCAGCAUCUCUGCUCAAUGGGGAAUCUAGGGUUUCGAGAACAGAGUAGUCCUGAGGUUAGGGACGGCCAAUGCAACAGAGCGAAGAGUCUUCCCGUAAAAUUAGUCUUCUAGGAAAGAAAAGGUCAAAGCUUUUUAAUAUUUAUUCAUCCUGAAUAAAAUAUGUUUUUUCAGUUUGAUCUUUGAUGAGAGAUUUUGUUGUUUUACAAAUAUAAUUGUUGUUUAAUUAUAUUUUCGAUACAUUUAAAAAAAAAAAAUUCUUUAGGAUAGUCAAUUAGUCAUUUUUAUGUUUCUGUCACAAAUUAAGAAAAAAAUGACCAAUUUUUUUUUAUUAAAAGGUAAAAAUAUAUUUAUAUCCUAAGACUAAUUAAUUUAGACUUAAAGUUUAGAACUAAAGGAUUGGUUUUGAGCAUAGUGUUUUAAAUUUUAAAAAGUAAAACAGAAAUAUUAAAAAUUUUAAAAUAAAAAUGAAUUAUUUUGGUCAUUUUUUUCUUUGAACGUUAUUUUUGUGACAAAAACUUUAAAUGACUAUUUGAGAGAAUUGAAUUUUUUUAACAUUGACUUGUUUUUAUUAUAAAUUAUAAAAAAAAAUUAUUACAUUUGCAUUUUAUAAGAAUUUUUAUUUACAAAGUACACCAUAAUAAAAAAAAUACCCUAAUAAAAAUUGAUGUCAUUUUUUUCAUUUAAUCUAAUUUGACUAAACUUUUUGAUGUAUAAGUAUUAAUGAAUUAUUAUUUAACUACUAGAUAAAUUAUGUUUAACCUGACAAAAAUAUAUAUAUACUGUACACACAUAUUCAUCCAUAUCAAUUUGAGAACAAUGGUGUAUUUUAAAAAUCAAACCCAAACUUUAUUAAGAAGAGGAUCUUGUCUGCAAUGACAAUAACUAAUGAAUAAAAUGUAUUUGGCUUGCCAAAUUAAAAAAAAAAAUCCAAUUAAGCUAUUCAAAAUACAAAACUGUUUUCAAACAAUAAACACAUACAUCGUUUCAUUCACCAGAUGGGACAGAUGCUAAGUCAUACAAUGACAAGUUUGUAUUAUUCAGUAAAACCAAGCACAAUCGUUUACUUGCUGAGAAGACCAAAGUGUGAGGAAAGCGUACUUGCACUUAGCCAGAAAGUAUAUAUAAAAGAAAAACAAAAAAACAAAUGAGGAUCUUUGAGACACAAACACUGUCUGACGUGCGUUUAUUCAUCAACCAAUGAGUAACUUGUUCUCUUCCAAGAAGCUGUAAGUUGGUACUUCCAAGUUGUAAGGUGCAGGACCUUUCCUGAUCCUUCCAGAGAUGUCGUAAUGCGAACCGUGACACGGGCAAAACCAGCCACCAUAGUCACCAGCAGUGGCAGGUUCAGAACCAAAACCAACCUCGUUUCCUUGAGUAAGGACUUGAGAAGAAAAACCUGAUAAUAGCAUGAAAAAACAUUAAUAUGUUCACAUCAAAGCAAACUUUUUUUCAAUCACCACAAUCAAUAUGUGACCUUUAACGAGUGCAUGCCGUAUAAGAAUAAUGCAGGAACAUGAGAGACUAAUUGAAACACAUACUAUACAACAACAUCAAAUUCAUUACCCUAAUCAACUGAAAAUCAAAAAUUACAAAUUCAAUAAGCAUAUGAAAGAAACGCUUAAAACUCCAAAGCUAAAAUCGCAAAAAAUAGCUCUUUUGGUGAACAAAAAGUUCCUCAGCAUGCCCUAUUAAACUGCUAUAAAAUACCCCAAACCAAGUAUGCAGCUAGAACAUCCAUCUCCGUAAUAAUGAAGAAAACACAAAGACCAAAACUUUAGAGACCAAUAACCAAUCACAUUAUGAAUAACCCUCAGCUAAAUAUUGUAGAAAAGAAGACCUAAAGAUCCAUCGAAACAAACACUCUACAACAAUACCAAAUUCAGUGAAAACUAAACUACUCUAGAACAUCCAUCUCCCUAAUAAUGAAGAAACAAAAGGAUACACAAAGAUCAAAACUUUAUAGAGUCCAAGAAGCCAAUCAGCCUAUCGUGAAGCUUCUCUCAUCAAAGGAAGGAUAAUCUCAGAACUAAUCAAUCAACUCAAAAUGUUUAUUUCUUGCUGCACGAAAGAAGCAAUCAUACAAGGCAAAGCUAUUCCGGUAAGGAGUAGAAUGAAAGGAAAUGGUACAUCAAUCAAGCUCUAGUACACGGUCCUAGAUUCAUGGAAACCAAACACAACACGUAGAUACGAUAGUAAGAAUCUCAAUCAUUACGGGACUCAAUACAAACAAAACAAACAAAAAAAACGAAUUUUUACAUCAUUCAAUCAAUCAAUCAACACCUGAAAUGAAAAUUUAAAUCAAUCCAGAUGAAGAGAGAGGCGUGUAGAUCUGCAGACCUCUUAUGAGAUUCCUGUGGUAAGAAUCGAAAGGUGAAAGAUUGGUAGAGGGGACGGAUCUGGGAGGUGAAGAGGAGGAGCCGCCGCCAUCGGAGAGGGUAUGGUCUCGGGAAAGGGCGAAGGAGGUCGCGGUGGAAGAUCUCUGCGAAAGAGAAAAGAGCCUCCUUCCUGCUACUCGCAGCAUCUCUGCUCAAUGGGGAAUCUAGGGUUUCGAGAACAGAGUAGUCCUGAGGUUAGGGACGGCCAAUGCAACAGAGCGAAGAGUCUUCCCGUAAAAUUAGUCUUCUAGGAAAGAAAAGGUCAAAGCUUUUUAAUAUUUAUUCAUCCUGAAUAAAAUAUGUUUUUUCAGUUUGAUCUUUGAUGAGAGAUUUUGUUGUU